GCUGUCAAGAGUCGAUUGAUGUCAAAUCAAAAUACAACAUCAAAGUCUGUAUGAUUAAGUAUUCCAUUAUGUGUUGAAGAGCGAGCAACAUUGUUUCAAGGCUGAGCCGGUCAUGCAAGUUUGUGAGCAACGGCAUAAUCCUGGUGCUGUGAGCCAACUUCAUAGCAAAACAGAAGAAAUUGCCCAUGUGAAAUGGCUACUUCUGUAGAAAGGAACCUUAUAUCACUUAUUAUCAACUUUCAACUGGUACGUCCAUCAUGGUUUUUCAGCAGUACCCUCUUUAGAGUAAUUGGCUGGGUCAAACUUCAUGUCUAUUUUACGAAGGCCGUCUUCUUCAUCCUUGGUUUGAUUUCUAGCCACAGCUUCGUAAACAAUGCUCUGUGUUUCUGUGGAUGGAUUACUUCAUUGAUCUGGGGCAAUCGCUUCCACUAACUACUAUUGCUAUGAAUGUUCAAGAAGGGUUAUAUAUCAUUUGCACUUUUCUCAUUGCUAACAUAGCCGAUGCCUACACAGGACCUUAUAAAACAAUAGUUUUCAACACUGCUUCAUAUGCAUUCGGACUGUUGCUAUGGUUUCUUGCUAGCCGGUUCUGGGGCAAUUCAUCCUCCACCGGGAUUAUACUACUUUAUCUGAUGAUGGUACUAGCAACUGUGGGCAGGGCAAGUCAGGAUCCUUGUUUAAAAGCAUUUCUACGUGAUCAAUUAGUCGAGCAUAAACCUAACCUUAACGCAGAUAAGGACCAAGCUGACGAGGUACCUAGUAAGCCAGACAUCAGUAUAGAUUAUGACAAAGCUGAGGUUCGAAGAAAAUUUUGGUGGCGUUUUGCUUCUACGGUGG